GUUUCUCUUGAUGCCUCUUGGGUUAGUUCAGCCUCAUGGUAUUUCCUAAAUGUUUUUGGAUUAAGAAGUUUAUACACUCUCAUACUGGGCCAAGAUAAUUCGGCUGAUCAGACAAAAGCCAUGCAGGAACAGAUGUCAGGAGCAGGCAUGAUGACCCCACCUGAUCCAAUGAAAGCCUUCAAAGGAGAGUGGGAGGCGCUAGAAGUCUGUAACCACCAAUGGUGUCUCCAGGGAGUGGAGGAGGAUUUGAUUGACGGGCCAGUGCAACCAGAGACCAUAUACAUCAAGAACAAAUACGCAUAAUACACAUCUUGUCAUUUGUAAAUUAUUGUAGAAAAAUAAUGUCACUUAUUAAAAAGAGAUUGCAUUUAUGGAAGCAAUGAAUGCAAUUAUUGAAUAAAAGUACGUUCACAG
rnacentral:misc_RNA from 1 species